CUUGCCUAAUUCCUUAUUGACUUUGAACUCUUCGUUCUAAAUAUAAAUGAAUCAUACAAUAGCUAUUUGGUGUUACAGUGAAAAUGAGUGUUUAGCUAUUGUAGCUUUUGUUUUAAAAAACCAACGCUGCUAGAACGGUAUCCAACUUCUUUUGCUUCCGCAACAAGCCACUGAAUGCGCGGCGUAUUAUCUCCUUCAAACGUAGUCCGUUCUCCGACCAGAACACUCAAGAGCUAUAUCGACAUCUGAAUGACCAGGACAAGAAAAAGUUCUUCUUUGAUUUGAGCAACUUCGAUUGGAACCAGUACUUUUAUUCCGGGACAGAAGGCGCUCGCGUGUACAUUGUUAAGGACCCUUUGGAAACCAUACCGGAAGGGGAAAAACGAUACCGGAAGCUACAAAUUUAUCAUUUAGCUUUAGUAACAGUUUUAUGUUUGGGACUUUUACGGUUGUGUUAUUUUAUAAUCAAGUUACUGCUUUAAGUAAGUACUCAAUUUUUGAUGAACAUGUAAUCCUAAGCAUUAGGCACUUAUCCGUAAUAAAAGUCAUUUCAUACUAA